UAGAGCGGAAAAGGGGACUCUCAAGAGUGCGGGCCUCAGGAGGAAGGGCGGGGCUUCCACCGAGCGAGGGCGGGACCUCAGGACGUGGGGCGUGGCUCCCGGCCCAUGGGGCGGUGCCAAUGGAAGGGCUCUCCACCGCCCGGGCGGGGCCUACGGACGGCAGCGGACAGUAGGUGGAGGGCGCCUUCGCGACGGCGGGCGGGGCCUCCAGGGUUGAACUAGGGGGUGCGGCCUCAGGAAGUCCCUGCUAGGACCUGGGCCUGGCGGAGGCGGGGAUGUCAGGGGCCAUGGAGUGCGAGGAUGGGGCGGGGCUUCUCGCGACAGAGCGGGACUCGGGGUCGGUGGACUGACCCGCGCACUCGGAUCCCGGCCCUGCUUUGUGAGCCGGCAGGCUGCGCGCUGGCCUUGCUGGAUGCUGAGACAGCGAACCGCCGCCGCAACUGCGCGUCGGAAGGGAAGGCGGCCUAGGUCCCUGCGGCGCCGAGACCUACCCUGGGGCCUCCCACCUGGGGACUUCCCUCCCUCCCCGGCCUCCCGAUCGAGCGUCUUCUCCCGCAGAUCUGGGGCAGCCUAGGACGAGUGAAGUGGGACAGGUGUCAGGGGUGGCAGGUCCCCUGGGACUCUGGCCAGGUACUUUACCCUCCCGCCUGGGUUGGCACUGCGUGCUCUGGGCAAGGUCCGGUCCCUCCUCUGCCCGCCAGCUACCAGCUGUGACCCCAAGCUGAGAACCGGUAUCUGCUUCUCCACCCCCAACCGGCGACGCCGCUCUCCAAUGCCAAGGCAGGUUCUACCGCAGGACCUUUGCCCACGCAGGUUCCUCUCUGUACACUGAUGUCCCCUAGCUUCUCCUCUCCAAGAUCCAAACUCAUGGUCAGGUCUCCUCCAAAUGGCCCCCAGCUCCCAUCUCUUUCUGGGUUUGUUUGUUUUGUUUUGAGACAAGUUCUAGCUUUGUAUACCAGGCUGGCCUCAAUCUCACAAAGAUCUGCCUGACUUUGCCUCGACUGCUAGGAUUAAAGGUGUGCGCCACCGCACCUGGCCUGUUUCACAGGCCCCCCUCUCAUGUCGCAGGUGCUCCAAAAACCAUGGAGGUUCUCAACCCGCAAAGACGGGACAUCCACAGCUGUUUAUUUUCACAACACAAACUAAUGUAAACCGUGCCAUGCCCCCAGGCUUUGUUUAUUCAUCUGUAAACCUAGGAUUCCUCGAACACGACGUUCUAGUGAGCUUUUGAACUCACCAGAAGCCAGCCUACAGGAAUGUCAGUGCCAGCCAUUUUGUUGGCGUUGGCCGACAGGCAGUGAGCUCCCUGGAAUCCGGACAUGCAAGCUGGCUCCAAGACAGGGUCUCAUGUUAUCCAAGAUCAUCCUGCCUCAGCUUCCCAAGUACUGGGAUUAAAGACGCGGGAAACCGAGGACCAGGGGAUCAGAGGACCCACUCAGAGUCCUCAGCCGGAGGGUGCGGUAGAAUCGGCCUUUUGCAACCCCGACACUCGGGUCCUUGCUUCGCCAUGGCGCAAACGGGGUAAACCGGGAAACAGGCUGGGAGAAGCUACCUGCACCCCUGCGGUUCCCCAGUUACCACACCGGAGUCUGUAACCCUGGGAAGAAGUGGACUUGCAGCCGGGCAGCCGCGGAGAGUUGCGAUCCCUGGCCUGAGCCUCAGUUUGUUCAUCUGUAGAAGGGACCGGAGGCAGGAACUAACCGCUAGCGGCGCCCAGGCAAGUGGCCGGGCUGAGUCCCUCUCUGGGGUCCCCGGUAACGCGGUGGGCGCUAGGUACACAGACUCGGGAUCAGGGGAUGGUCCCCCAGCCUCAUUUUCCCCAUGUGUCCAACGGGGACCUCUCCCUUCCCAUCCGGUGCACCACUCUGUGAGAAGCGGGUGGGCAGCGGGCUGGACCUGACUCCCGCUUCCGGACCGCCUCGCCCUGCCUCAGUUUCCCCACCCCGCAGGACGCGCCGGCACCCGCACUCCGGCCUCACC